rnacentral:rRNA from 1 species
ACGAACGCUAGCGGCUGCUUAACACAUGCAAGUCGAACGGAGUGGCGAACGGGUGAGUAACGCGUGAGCAACCUGCCUAUGACAGUGGGAUAGCCUCGGGAAACCGGGAUUAAUACCGCAUAGUCAUAGAUGGGCUCGCGUCUGAUUAGCUAGGUGGUGAGAUAACAGCCCACCAAGGCGAGGUUCAGUAGCCGGUCUGAGAGGGUGGACGGACACAUUGGAACUGGGACACGGUCCAAACUCCUACGGGAGGCAGCAGUGGGGAAUAUUGCACGAGGGGGGAAAUCCUGAUGCUGCGACGCCGCGUGAACGAAGAAGGUAUUCGGAUCGUAAAGUUCUGUCCUAUGGGAAGCAGUACAAUAGAAGAAAGCUCCGGCUAAAUACGUGCCAGCAGCCGCGGUAAUAC